rnacentral:rRNA from 1 species
CCUUACUGCUAUCGGGAUAAGACUAAGCCAUACGAGUUGUGCGCUCUCAAGCUAUGUUGAGAGAGCAGCAAACGGCUCAGUAACACGUAGUUAACCUACCCUCAGGACAGGGAUACCCCCGGGAAACUGGGGAUAAUACCUGAUAGGCGGAAGCGCCUGGAAUGGUCUUCCACUGAAAGGGUGUUAAAAACAUGCUUUUAACACUGCCUGAGGAUGGGACUGCGACCGAUCAGGUUGUUGGUGGGGUAACGGCCUACCAAGCCUAUAACCGGUACGGGCCCUGAGAGGGGGAGCCCGGAGAUGGGAACUGAGAAACGGUCCCAGGUCCUACGGGACGCAGCAGGCGCGAAACCUCCACAAUGCACGAAAGUGCGAUGGGGUUAUCCCGAGUGCUUUCCGAUGAGGAUGGCUUUUCCUCGGUGUAAAAAGGCGAGGGAAUAAAGGGGGGGCAAGACCGGUGUCAGCCGCCGCGGUAAUACCAGCUCCCUGAGUGGUAGGGAUGAUUAUUUGGCCUAAAGCGUUCGUAGCCGGCUUGGCAAGUCUUCCGUUAAAUCCAGCGACUCAAUCGUUGGUCCGCGGAAGAUACUACUAGGCUAGAGGACGGGAGAGGUUGACGGUAUUCCCAGUGUAGGGGUGAAGUCCAAUAAUCCUGGGAGGACCACCAGUGGCGAAGGCGGUCAACGAGAACGUGCCUGACGGUGAUGGACGAAAGCUGGGGGAGCGAACCGGAUUAGACACCCGGGUAGUCCCAGCCGUAAACGAUGCGGGCUAGGUGUUAGGGCAGCCACGAGCUGCUCUAGUGCCGCAGAGAAGUCGUUAAGCCCGCCGCCUGGGGAGUACGAUCGCAAGAUUGAAACUUAAAGGAAUUGGCGGGGGAGCACCACAAGGGGUGAAGCCUGCGGUUCAAUUGGAUUCAACGCCGG